rnacentral:tRNA from 4 species
GACCCCAUAGCUCAGCUGGAUAGAGCAUCUGCCUUCUAAGCAGACGGUCGCAGGUUCGAAUCCUGCUGGGGUCGCCA